AUAAAGAACUUCUCAAAUGUGUCUAGAUAAUUAUGAGGCUGCAUUUUAUAUAGCUCCUGUACCACAGUAGGCUGCAAGGCCUAGUAUAAUCUUUACCUCUGGAGCCCAAGAUUGUACCAUGUUCACAUGUGAGGCACCAUGUGACACAUGUUAAAUGUACAGCAAUUCCGUGGUUGCAAAUGCAUACAUAUGGAAAUUAUCUAUCAGCUUCCUAUAAUAUCAGUUGCUAGGACCAACACAAAUUACUUUCUCCCAUUGGAAAUUUUAAGGAUAAUGCUCUGUAAUGGAUGGAUGGAUAGUAGAUAGAUAGAUAGAUAGAUAGAUAGAUAGAUAGAUAGAUAGAUAGAUAGAUAGAUAGAUAGAUAGAUAGAUAGAUAGAUAGAUAAAUGGGCUAUGAUUUCAACUUGUAGGAAGUGAAAUGGGUAACAAUCCCUGGAGAGUUGGAAUGUCCAGAAGGACUCUUGCCAUCAGCAGAACAGUUGCAUCUAACCUUGGGGGGCAGGAUUGUGGUGACUUUCAGCCCCUUCCACAGUUUUCCCAUCAAAACAGAAAAUCAGAAACCAAAUGUGGUUCUGAGGUUCCUUGCCACAAUUUCAACCUACCAAACAGCAUCCAAAUAAUCCUGUUUUUAAAAACUGUAGAUAUCUAUGUGUAAAUAUGAAUCUGAGCAUCUGUGGGUUUUCCUUAAAAAUGCAAAGAAAGGCCGAUUUUGGAAUCUCUAGGGUUGUGAAUUGAUUCUAGGAAAUAAUGCAGAACUAAUGCAAACUGGAGGAUUUCCCCCAUUGAUCACUGGUAUGUGUGUAUCCACACACAAGCAGUAGUAUCUGCACAUACACUGCACCUUAGUGCCCUUUUCCUAUUCAGCUCUCUAAUGUGAGUUUGAGUUGGUGUGCUCACAUCCUGGGACCUCCCGGACACCUCUGGGGCCCUUGGUCAUCUAAUAGCUGCUUCUCUCGGAUACCUAGGCAGUGAAUAUGCCGACAGCUGCCAGGAAAAUGGUCUGGUUCGCUUUAAACAUUGCUCUUCGUCAUUCUUCUCUACCCCCCAAUACAGUUGCCGGCUGUGAUCUGCUGCCUUUCAACUUGGAAUAAAAUACAUUACUUAUGCAGUGAAUGUUUUUAAUGUAACAAAGCAAAGGAAUAAAAAUGCCUUACAACAGUUUUAUUAAAAACAAAUUCCCACAGUAAAUACAUAUACACUCUGUUUCUGGGAGCAAAAUAGCCAAGGACUUCACUGCUAAGUGCUCUGGGAAGUGCUUAUAAAUUACUUGAAAUAAAAAACAUUGUUGCCUGGACAUCAGGGAUGAAAUGCUGCAGUUUGUAAUAAAUUAACACAGAACUUUACUUCCCCUCCUCGAACAAAGCAGCCAUUUGUCUGAAUAACCCACAUUCAGCUGUGAGUUAUAUUUUCACAACCUCAACUGCAUUCAUUUGCAAAUUAUUCUGCAGUUUUAAUGCUCAAGUUUUAAAUACCUUAAGAACUAAUAAAUAAAGCAAAGUAGAGCAAACAGUUGGCUUGUAGUUUAAAAACUGCCCUAAUUUCUGUUUUUCUUUUGGCUUUUUUCCUUUCCUCUUUUCCCUUUUUCUUUUUCUUCUUUUCUUCUUUUUUUUAUAAAUGGCAUAAAGUUUCUUUAAACUACAUUUUAAAAAUAGGAGGCUAAAAUGAAUUUGGGGGUAUUCACACCAGAGAGAAGUUUCCAUAAUUCCAUUAACUGUGAAGGUAUUUGGUAGUACUCAUUUUACAUUUUUAAGACUUUUCUUCUACCAAUACUUUAAUUUAGUGACAGAAUAAUUUAUAACUAUCUUUGAGGUUUUUCCCUUUGUGUGUAACUUUUGUCUGCUAGUCUUGGAAUUGGUUAGAUUUUUUUUCUCUCUCUCCCUCUACUAGACUUUGUCCAGAAAAAAAAAAUCUCAAAAGAAAAGUCGUGUCACUUCCCUUGAGUUAUUUUGAUUAUAAAACAAAAACUCUGCAAGAAAACUCUUUUCAAACCUGUUCUGUAAAACAAAACGAACCGCUUUCCAGGUUCUUGAAAGAAAAAUUUGAUAGAAGCACUUAUAGAUUCAAUUUGAGAUUUGAAGGUUAUUUUCCUGGCCUAAAGGGGGGGGGGUGCGGCGAAGGCCAGUUUCCUUGUGCAGAAUUACUGGCUUUGUUGGAUUUCUUUGCAUUGUUUUAAAUAAGGUCCUGUGUAGCCAGUUGCACCGGAUAAAAGUAAUGUCACCAUUUACAGGAAGUGGAUUUGGGGAGGAAAAGUCCUCAGAAGCAUGUUAUUUUCAGAAGAGUGCCUUAUAAAAUAUUUUUAUAAAGUAGGAGUUGAAAUCAUUUAAAAAUCACCCUCUUUUUAUAAAUCUGUUUGGAGAAAGCUCUUUUGAUCCCCUCUUUCUUCUGAUCCUCAUCUUUUAUUUUGCUUAGAGGUAAACAACGUUUGCCUCAUUUAAACAACGGCAUUUGCCAUUGUGGUUCUUAAAUAGUUUUCCAGUCACCCUAUGGCAAUUCAUCACAUGGGAUAAAAUGAGGAUACUUUGCAUCUAAGACUUUUAUCACCUCCCAGAAAAUGUUUGUUGUUUUUUGCUUUGGUUCUUUAUUCACUCCCACCCCUACCCCCACCCCGAGCUGCGGGGGAUUGUUUUAGGACAUUUCAAAGCCUUUUGUGGAGAGGGAACCCAAGUCCCUCUGUGGAGAGUAAGAAAUGUUGAUUACAUGCACUGUAAAAUGGGAGAUAUUCCCAAAUUUCCUUUUAAUUAAGACAUCUACAUAGCCAUUGCUCUGCAGAAAAAGAGAGAUUUCCAAACAUUUAAAAAAUACGGAAGCUUUUAGAACUGCAACAGAUACCCCGACCUCUCCUCGACCCUGGGGUGAGGUGGCUGUCACCUGGGGGGAGGUAAAUGGACAUUAGUAACUCCAUCAGAGUCACAUGGGGAGGGGCACCCAAAACAGAUGCAGAGGUAAUCACAGGACUACAGAGCUUUAAUACCGCCGUGGGCGUCAGUUAAGCGAAAGGCGCUUGUCUGGUUAGCCGGGUCAUUUCUGCAUAUGCACACAACCUUUGUCCUUUUAAAAAAUCACUCUGUGAUGACUGGUUUGAUUCUCUGACCAUCCAAGCCUGAUUAAGAGCAUUUGCUUAGGCCCUAAAGACUUCAUAGCUGGCCACCCAUCUGGUGUUAGGCUUGAGUCCGUGAAAAUCCCUCAGCUUAACACUGAAUAUUCUUUUUUAAGACGUUUAAGUAAAAGGGCUGACAUUAGCAUAUGUUCCCCCCAAGUGUCCUGUUGAACUUUCUGCCGGGCAUUUACCCUACGACGGGCUUUCUGGAUGUUGUCCAAUGAGAGAUUGGCUUGGAACUGUAAAAUUAGCCAUCUGCCUAUUAAAAAUGUAACCAGCUGCAUCCGAUGAAACACAGUGACUAUUGAAAUGAACUCAUCCGGGAGAGAACUCGCGUCCCCUGCUUGGACAUUUUUCCAACCUACUGCUGGACUGAGACACUCCACGAGCAAAGGCCCUCCGUCCUUGUUUGGAGGAAAACGGCAUGACUCAAGGGUGAAGAAGGCUGAGCGGAUAGCUCAACAAAUCAGGGCACUCUUCCUCACCUGUUACCCAGUGACUUUUUCAGGAACCAAGAGGUGGAUCUCACACAUCAUGACGAGUUAAGACACGCUCUUGAGUGUGGCUGAAGCAUGGAUUUCGAGUUCAGCGUUUCAAAACCAGAGUACCCUAGACAGCCUGCUGAAAAGAAGUCAGAGGCUCUCAAGCUCCCAGCGGGAAAACCUUGGAGCCCUGUUGUUGGAAAUAGCUCCCAACCUGCAUCUCAGGCAGGUAUUUUUAGGUUCUGUCUUGAAGACACAGAAACUUUCACACAUUUCAGCUUCUUUGUCUGGAGUCACUGCAACCCCAGACAUGUCAUUGAAAUGGGGUAUAAUUGUGGUCUCCUCCACCCACCAAUCUGAAUGAGUCUAAAAGAGCUUCCUGCUGUGCAGGAGAGAGCAUGGAGAGUCUUUUCUGGCAAGGGAAAGUCAAAAUGGAUUUUUUAAAAUAAUAAUAUGUUGAUCAAGAAGAGAAAAAAAUGUCUGUUGAGGAGAGGGGGCUUGGCAUUUGGGCUGAUAUGGAGGGGAAGGUUACCUAUUAUUUUGAAAUGUGGUCUUAGUUCUCUUUUGCAAGCUGCAGAUUUCAAGCUUGGAGGAGCUAAUGUCUCACAUUUGAAGUUAGAAAAUAAAGAUGCUUGGAAUCAGCUGAGUUGGAUCAAUGGCUGUUAUUAAUACGAGGCUUUCUGAGGAAUAAUUAUAAUUGUCAGUCACUGGGCAUAGCCUGACACUAAAAGGAGAAAUAGAAGAUAAAUCAAAAUGAUGCAGGGCAGAUAUAACUGGCAGGAGAAUUCUGCUAGAGCAGAGGAGCUGGGAGAAAGAACGUGUGAGUUUCCAAGAGCAUCUGGCCACCAUCUCACCAUGGGGCACAUCAACCAGAGUGACCCAGGGCCUGUGUUUUCAGGGAGCUCAGAGACAAUUGUCUCAAGGGCCAACUGAUCCCAGAUGUCCGAGUGGGCAUUAGGUCCCUACAGCUCACUUGACCAUGGGAAGCAACAUGAUUGAAUCACUCACAAUAAUGUGCCAAUUACCCCUGCCAUCCACGGGUCUGGAUACAAGACAACAAAGAGAAGCUGGCUGCAGUGAAGGGUAUGUGUGAAAUAGGUUUAAAUGGAUGAUGGGCCAUUUUCAUAGGAGUAAAAUAGUAAAGCAUUUGCCCACACAGUCUAGAAAGGAGAUCACCAAUCGUCAACUUUCUAAACUUAACUUGAUUGGAAAGCAAGUAACUUCCUACAGGAAUGGGAUUUAAGGAGGCUCAGGGGACCCUGCAUGAUGGCUUCUCCCAGUCCCGCAUCCAUCAGGAGGAAAUUGAUGAUCAAGAAAAAAAAAUUCUAUUCAGGGUGGAGGCUCUGAGUUUGGGCAAAUGAGUCCAACAGUUAUGCUUCUAAAAGAUUAUGCUGCCUUCUGAGGCUCAAUUAUUUAAUAUACAACAUUUAAUCCAGAGAUCACCUGACCCUUGCCAAGCUUCACCUCUCACACACCCACAGAGAGCAAGCCUGACCUAGUAGGUGACUAUGUCCUAAGUUUGAUCCUAAAAGCUUUUACUUGAUCUUCAUAACAACCCUAUAAAGAAGGAACCAUUAUUAUCUCUAUUUUUAAAAUGAUGGAGCCAUGGCUACAUGGGAUUAAAUAUCUGGCUCAAAGAUCCACAGCUACUGAAUGAGCAGAGUUUGAAUUCUGAAUUCUGACCUGGAUUCUUAACCACUAGGCUACCCUCCCUUCUAUUUGAAGCACUGUCUCACUUUCUCUUUAUGACAACUAUAUGGAGUUGUUCAUCCCACUGACAAUCAAGAGGAGAAAGCUACUUGGAAAGUCACUUGGAAAAACAGUGGGCAAGUCGGAACCCAAACAGCCCCAACAUUGAGCCCAGGGAAGAUAACAGAGCAUGGUCCCCAGCCACUGAGUAUUCAUGCAGCCACACCGUGUGAGGACCCCCAGCCAGCAGGGACUGUGAUGUGUCACAUGGCCCACCCCCUCUGGCAGGGUGGGAGGCGGAGCCAGGCAGGCAGACCAAGAGGAACAAAUUGCAAAGCCUACAGAAGAGACCACCAUGUAAAUACCUGUACACCUUUUAGGUUCAAACUGUGUAUUAAAAUAGCCAAAAUUUGAAACAAACAAACAAACAGACCCUGGCCUGUCAAGUUGUGAAAGUUCAGAGCUGAGCAGAGAAGUGGUUUCAUGCCAACUUUUCAUAGAAAGUGAAAAAGCAGAGGGCAACUUAAUGAAACCAUAACUGAGCUGCUGAGAAAACUUCACUUCUUACUGGAAGGAAAUUAUGCUGGGCUGGAAGCAUCGAUUAUGCAGAGUUGCUUAUUAUUACAUCUUUUCAUCUUCUACAUUGGCUGGAAAGAGCAGGAAUAAGGAAGAUAAGGAAAAAGAAUCUGAGAUCUCCCCAUUCCCAAGCAGCUCGCUUUCAUGAAAGGAACUUUUUUUUAGCUCUAUUGAGGUAUAAUUGAUAAAUAACACUGUAAGAUAUUUAAAGUGUACAAUAUGAUUAUUUGAUAUAUGUACACACUGUGAAAGGAUCCUCCCAUGAGGUUAAUUAACAUGUCUGUCACUGCACAUAGUUACCAAAUUUUUUGGUGAGAACCUUUAAGUUCCACUGUUAGCAAAUUUUGAUUAUAUGAUGCAAUGUUAUCAACUAUAGUCACCAUGUUAUACAUUAGGUCCUCAGACUUUAUUCACCUCAGACUGAAAGUUUUGUACCCUUUUACCAACUUCUCCCUCUUUCCCUCACCCCUGGGCAACCACUUUCUACUCUCUGUUUCUGAGAUGGACCUUUUGUUUUUUAAGUUUAAAAGGAAGUGUUUUUUCAGUUAUCAGUAAGAACCAAGCAGAAGCCAGUUCCAUAUUAACUCAGGAGCUGGACAUAGCCUUGCAGAGACAAAUCUGAAACCAGAAGCGGACGGGCUUAUGAACUCCGGGUCUCAGCAUCUCAUGAGGUGUGUGAUUUCCACUGUCAGCUGGAACUUCCAUCUACUUUGGAUAUUUCUAUCAAAGAGUUUCUCAAAGGCAGGGAUUGUUUUUACUCAUCUUUGUAUCCUUUUGUGCCCACAGAAAGCUCUGAAGCUGAACUGAAAUAGUUGAGAUGGUGGGAGAAGGUGCUUGUUUGAGAUCCAACUAACUGUUCUGUCCCUGAAAAUUGGUCUCUCUGUAUUUUGACUCCUACUUGUAGACUGAAUGGAGCUGCUUGAGAUUUUUUACUGUUACUGUUAAAAAUGUUGACUGUUACUGUCUGUUUACUAACUGUUACUUAUUUGUGACUAUUACUGUCAUUUUAAUAAAAAACUAUGCAC